AUUGAACGCUGGCGGCAUGCUUUACACAUGCAAGUCGAACGGUAACAGGCCGCAAGGUGCUGACGAGUGGCGAACGGGUGAGUAAUGCAUCGGAACGUGCCCAGUCGUGGGGGAUAACGCAGCGAAAGCUGCGCUAAUACCGCAUACGAUCUAUGGAUGAAAGCGGGGGACCGAAAGGCCUCGCGCGAUUGGAGCGGCCGAUGUCAGAUUAGGUAGUUGGUGGGGUAAAGGCUCACCAAGCCAACGAUCUGGAGCUGGUCUGAGAGGACGAGCAGCCACACUGGGACUGAGACACGGCCCAGACUCCUACGGGAGGCAGCAGUGGGGAAUUUUGGACAAUGGGCGCAAGCCUGAUCCAGCAAUGCCGCGUGCAGGAAGAAGGCCUUCGGGUUGUAAACUGCUUUUGUACGGAACGAAACGGUCCUGGUUAAUACCUGGGGCUAAUGACGGUACCGUAAGAAUAAGCACCGGCUAACUACGUGCCAGCCGCCGCGGUAAUAC
rnacentral:rRNA from 1 species